rnacentral:misc_RNA from 1 species
GAUGAAGAACGCAGCGAAACGCGAUAUGUAAUGUGAAUUGCAGAAUUCAGUGAAUCAUCGAAUCUUUGAACGCACAUUGCGCCCGCCAGUAUUCUGGCGAGCAUGCCUGUUCGAGCGUCAUUUCAACCAUCAAGCCCCAGGCUUGUGUUGGAGCCCUGCGGCUGCCGCAGCCUCCCAAAACCAGUGGCGGGCUCGCUAUCACACCGAGUGCAGUAGUUUACUCUUCGCUCAGGGCGUGUGGCGGGUGCUAGCCGUGAAACCCCCAACUUCUCAAGGUUGACCUCGGAUCAGGUAGGAAUACCCGCUGAACUUAAGCAUAUCAAUAAGCGGAGGA